rnacentral:rRNA from 1 species
AUUGAACGCUGGCGGCAUGCCUUACACAUGCAAGUCGAACGGUAACGGGCCUUCGGGUGCCGACGAGUGGCGAACGGGUGAGUAAUACAUCGGAACGUGCCCGAUCGUGGGGGAUGACGAGGCGAAAGCUUUGCUAAUACCGCAUACGAUCUACGGAUGAAAGCAGGGGACCGCAAGGCCUUGCGCGGACGGAGCGGCCGUUGGCAGAUUAGGUAGUUGGUGGGAUAAAAGCUUACCAAGCCGACGAUCUGUAGCUGGUCUAAGAGGAUGAUCAGCCACAUGGGAACUGGGAACCGCCCCGACCCCCUCCGGAGGGCAGCGGUGGGGAAUUUGGAACAAGGGGCGCAGCCUGAUCCAGCCAUGCCGCGUGCAGGAUGAAGGCCUUCGGGUUGUAAACUGCUUUUGUACGGAACGAAAAGCCUUCUUUUAAUACAGGAGGGUCAUGACGGUACCGUAAGAAUAAGCACCGGCUAACUACGUG